UACGUAGGGGGCAAGCGUUGUCCGGAUUUAUUGGGCGUAAAGAGCUCGUGGGCGGCUUGGCAAGUCGGGUGUGAAAACUCCAGGCUCAACCUGGAGAUGCCACUCGAGGACUGCUAUGGCUAGAGUCCGGUAGGGGACCACGGAAUUCCUGGUGUAGCGGUGAAAUGCGCAGAUAUCGUAAGGAAGACCAGUGGCGAAGGCGGGUCUCUGGACAGUUCCUGACGCUGAGGCACGAGGGCCAGGGGAGCGAAAGCGGG
rnacentral:rRNA from 1 species